AGACCAUUUGGCACAAAGGAUACUUUAAGAAGCCGAAAACAUACUCCUCACUCAUUGCAUGACUUCAAGGCAGACAUAAUAAAAAGGUAUGUAUGUUCAUUCAAUGCAGAUCAACACAGUGAUGUGGAAGGUCAAAGUGGGGAGCUGUCUGAUGAAGGUCAAGAUGACAAUAAUGAUGUGACAGACCUGCCAAACUGCAUAGAAAAAAAAUGGCUUUGUUGUUUCUAAAACUGGAGAGCACUUUUAAUGUAUCUUACAGGUGUAUAGAAGAGGUUGUUAAGGAGUUCAAUUUUAUAUCUUGAUCAGCAUCUGGACCCAUCAUCAAAGUUGUUGCAGAUAAAAUGGGCAAGAAAUAAGGGAUAUCUUGGAGCGCUGGCCUGCAUUAUCAGGUGCAACAGAGAUAAAUGAAGAAUUCAAGAGGAUAACCACUGUAGGUCUUGAAUCCACAUUUAUGGCCAAACUUGACAAACGCACCCAAAACUAAUGGACCUGGCCUCAUCCAGGGGAGGAGCUAAAGGGGAAAGAAUCAGAAGGAUUAAGGAUAUGCUUCUUGAGAACAAUGCAGUUGAAGUAUGGAGAGAAGUAGCCAUUCACUGUCUUGUUGUCUAUCUUGGAGAGAAAGAAGAGGAUCUUUUUAAGGAGUUUGCUGUGACUAAUCUAUUUUUUUUAUCUUGCUUUACAAGAAUACACAAGAAUUAUUGGUGAUCUGUCAACUAUGGAAUUAAACCACAAGACGGGAACCAUCAUUGUUGAGAAUCCUGAUUGGAAUGGAUAACUCAAGGUGUUGUGCUCUGCUAACGGGCAUAAUAUAUGCUCUGAAUCUGAGCUACCCCAAGGAGCUUAAAUAUACUUGUUAAGUGUUUCAGAAGCUGUUUCUUGAACUUGAUGGACUGAAGCCCAGUGUAAAAGUAAUGCGUCUCAAGAACAGCAUUUUCUGAAGCCUCUACUUAUUUCAAAGUACAUUUUGCUCUUUAUGUUGCAACUAUAUUGUUUUGUAUUUUGAAGUCCACAUGCUGAUCUUUUUAAUUUCAUACUGUUUAUAUGAAUGGUGGCAUUUACAUA
rnacentral:lncRNA from 1 species